GAUUAACGCUGGCGGCAUGCCUAAUACAUGCAAGUCGAACGGAAGCAGCAAUGCUUUAGUGGCGAACGGGUGAGUAACACGUAGGGAACCUACCUAUACGACGAGGAUAACUACUGGAAACGGUAGCUAAAACUGGAUAGGAUCAAUUGAGGCAUCUUGAUUGAUUUAAAGAUCCUUCGGGAUUACGUAGAGAUGGCCCUGCGGCGCAUUAGCUAGUUGGUGAGGUAACGGCCCACCAAGGCGACGAUGCGUAGCUGAGCUGAGAGGCUAAACAGCCACACUGGGACUGAGACACGGCCCAGACUCCUACGGGAGGCAGCAGUAGGGAAUUUUCGGCAAUGGGGGAAACCCGUGACCGAGCAAUGCCGCGUGAACGAUGAAGGUCUUCGGAUUGUAAAGUUCUGUGAUUGGGGAAGAAUGGUAUUCUUAGGGAAUGAGGAGUACAUGACGGUACCCGAUUAGAAAGCCCCGGCUAACUCCGUGCCAGCAGCCGCGGUAAGUACG
rnacentral:rRNA from 1 species